UGGACGAACCUCUGGUGUUCCGGUUGUCACGCCAGUGGCAUUGCCGGGUAGCUAUGUUCGGAAGCGAUAACCGCUGAAAGCAUCUAAGCGGGAAGCGCGCCUCAAGAUGAGAUCUCCCGGGGCACAAGCCCCCUGAAGGAACCAUAUAGACUAUGUGGUUGAUAGGUCAGGUGUGUAAGUACAGCAAUGUAUUGAGCUAACUGAUACUAAUGAUCCGUGUGGCUUGACCAUAUAACCUCA
rnacentral:rRNA from 1 species